rnacentral:rRNA from 1 species
GAUGAACGCUAGCGGCAGGCUUAAUACAUGCAAGUCGAGGGGCAGCAUGAUUGUAGCAAUACAAUUGAUGGCGACCGGCAAACGGGUGCGGAACACGUACACAACCUUCCAACAAGUGGGGGAUAGCCCAGAGAAAUUUGGAUUAAUACCCCGUAACAUAGCGAUGUGGCGUCACAUUGCUAUUAUAGAUUUUUCGCUUGUUGAUGGGUGUGCGGCUGAUUAGAUAGUUGGCGGGGUAACGGCCCACCAAGUCUACGAUCAGUAGCUGAUGUGAGAGCAUGAUCAACCACCCGGGCACUGAGACACGGGCCCGACUCCUACGGGAGUCAGCAGUAAGGAAUAUUGGACAAUGGACGCAAGUCUGAUCCAGCCAUGCCGCGUGAAGGAUUAAGUUCCUCUGGAUUGUAAACUUCUUUUAUAAGGGACGAAAAAAGGCUUUUCUAAGUCGUCUGACGGUACCUUAUGAAUAAGCACCGGCUAACUCCGUGCCAGCAGCCGCCGUAAGAC